AUGACAGGAUCUAGAGUCAAUUCAUGGGGUUUGUCGAUCGUGGGAGACGUGCCAUCACCUAUGCAAAUACCACAACCGUCACAAAAGGUGCACAAACAUCCACAUGCACAUGAUCAGGUUAAUGUUUCUAUACCACCAUUUAAUGGCCGUUUUAGACCUGAUUUAUAUAUUGAAUGGGAGUUUGACAUAAAUAAUAUAUUGGCUUCCAAUAAUUUUGAUGAACGUAAAAAAGUUAAGGUUGCGGUUGGUUCUUUCACUGGUUAUGCUAUAGUUUGGUGGAGUGAAUAUUGUUGGUUACACCCUAAUGAUAUACCUACUACUUGGGAUGAUUUGAAACUUGCCAUGCGACAUACAUUCCUUCCCACUUAUUAUACUCGUGACAUGAUUAAAAAGUUGCAACAUUUAAAACAAGGUAGUGACACCGUAACGACAUAUUAUGAUACUUUACAAACUACCUUGCUGCAUUCCUCUUUAGUAGAAAGUGAAGAAGAUUUUAUGGAUAGAUUUUGGGGAGGAUUAAAUCAUGACAUUCAGGAGAUACUAAUUCAUGAAGAGUGUUAUCCUAUGGAUCAUUUGUUUCAUAUUGCUUGCAAAGCUGAACAGGAAAUAAAACGACGUGCUUCCCACAAGGAGAACAAGCGCGAGAUGCACAUUCCAAGAGUUGAUACGGUUGUCCCUUCAACUACUAGGCAUACUAUGACAACCACAUCCGUUGUUGUGAGGACUACAUCACCUCCACCAUGUGGCACAUCAUCACCGAGAGUGCCUACAUCAUUUGAGUUGAUCAUAAGAGGUAAUGACAAAGAUACUAAUCUUCCACCACCACAUGAGUAUGAUUAA
rnacentral:rRNA from 1 species